rnacentral:sRNA from 1 species
UAUUGUAUGGUGUCACUGGAUUUUUAC